CGGGUGCGGGCGCGGCGCGGGCGAGCGGCGGGGCCGGCGGGGCGGCGGCGCGCGCGAGGGAGUUGGGCCGGUUCGGCCCAAUUCGGCCGGGCCGGUCCGUUCCUCCCCUUUUUUUUCUUUUACCCUUUUCUUUUUCUGUUUUUCUUAUUCCUUUGAUAUCUUUUGAUUUUGAACUCCAAAUUGGUCCAAAUAAAUUUCAGAAAAUUUGUAAAAUCAUGUUCUACCAUGAUACAACUUUUGGGAGUAGUUUCCCCUCAAAAUAAAAUAUAUAAAAAUAUAUUUGCCCUAGAAAUGCCUCUAGGGCUAUAUAUCUAUUUAAAUAAAAUACUUUUUCAGCUCCAAAUAAUUAUCCAAAAAUUAUGGGAUAGCUUAUAUAUGCAUUAAACCCCUUUUAUACAUAGAACCUAUUGGUUUGAAGAUCCAAAGUUCAAAUGGGUGUAAACCCUAAGGUUCAAGUUGAAAUUAAAACUUUUAAAGCCUUUUUGAGAUUCAAAUUUGAAUUCAAACAUGCAAUUGUGGCAUGAUGCUCAUGGGUGCAAUGCAUAUGUAAAAGUUUGAAAUUUUGGGAUGUUACAAGCAUCAAGAGUGCGGCCCUGGUGGACUUCGUCGCGG
rnacentral:lncRNA from 1 species